rnacentral:piRNA from 1 species
AUCCAACAUGGAAAGUGUAUCCUCUGACUG